rnacentral:lncRNA from 1 species
UUUUUUUUGGAGAGAUAGGUAGCACGCUACCCGCUUCGUUUAUUUCAUUUAGAAAUAAACUUAGCUAAAAUGUGAAUCAAAUAGAAUUCGAACAUGGGUCUCGGGUACCAACCACCAAACCCUUUGCCACUUGUCUAGGGACGGUCGAUAAAAAGAAAGUUUGUUGAUCCCGUAUACUUCAGCCUUGUUGGAUGUGGGAAUAAGUUAUUCUUGAAUAACGUAUUUGGCAUUUAGUUUUUCUACUGUGUGAUUAGAAGCAAAAAGUUAAUUUGACUUUUAUUUUUUGAAAGGUCUUGUUCUUCAUGAUUUUGUAGGAUAAUAUAUUUCACCUACAAGAUGAUUUAUUUUAUUUUAAAAAAUUGACUAGAAAAUGAAAUAAGUUAUUCUAUUCUAUAUGUUUGAUUUUAUUUUUUAUCUACCAAAUAUUAUUAUUUUUUGAGUAAAUUAAAAGCAUAUUCAGAAUAAGAUAUUCUUGCAUUCAAAUAAAGCAUUGUAAGGACUGAGAUUUUUGCAGUGUAGCUAAACUCUCAGUUGACGAUAUUUUUGUGUGUAAUUUAAUUACAAAAGCACUCGUCAAGUUUCGGGCGAAAACGAGUUAAAACGGAAAUUCUACGCGAUUUCCAAGUUUCACUUAAAGUGAAUAGUAACUCGAUUUUUUCCGGAGAAGCCGCGGUGAGAAGUUGGUUUCUGGCACGUACCGGACUCUGUUCAUAGCAGUCCAAUAGCUCGUUUCGACCGGGUCAGCUGUUCUGGAACUAAUGACGCUGACGGAUUUUGAGUUUGACGCAUGGAUUUCGAGAAAAUCUAAAAAUACAUGUUUUAUAUGUAUUUAGGUGUGUUUUUCUUCUGUUGAAGGAAGGUUAGAUUUUGUCGUGAAUCCGUGGUCGAUCAAGACGAAACGAAAUCGCAGCUUUGUUGUCUCCGCCGUACUGAUCGCACUGGUGCAAUCCGUUCGCAAAUCUGACGGACGGAUCUGCGGAGAUUGCGCGUUGAUCGAGGAGAGGUCGGUAGUGGCAAAACGGUAUUUUCGCGAAAGUCGCGAUAUUUUAUGUACCGUUUUGCGUGAGAUCGCACGUGGAGGGGUAUUCUUGCGUUUUAGUCGUACUGUGAGGAUCUCGGAUUGAAAUUUUGAUG